ensembl:lncRNA
GUUCAUUUUCUUUCCUUCAGUCAUGCACAGAGUCUGCUCAUUCAAGCUGGCAUCAAAGAGGAGGCUUUUGCACUAACCAGUUAUACCAUGAGUGCUUGCAGUGAAGUGAACUGUUCCAAAGAUUUUGGUCUGUGUCCAUAGUUAAUCCUAUAUAUGAGGAAAAAAAUUUGCUUUUCCUCUAAAACUUCAUUAAAUAUGUGAAAUGCUGUACUUCAUUGGCCACCCUUUUGUAGGAGUGCAUGUAGUCUUCGGAGAAUUACAGGUCAUUUUCAUUUGCGUGCAGUAUUUGCUUUGGGAAAGCAAACUACUACUAAACUCAUGUGCUGCUAUUUCCAGAAAUUGCCAGAGGGCAAAUGAGGUGGGCUCAGGUACCCCAUAGCCUUUGGGAGGACGGGUUGCCUGGCUCCCAUUGGUGUUGUUUACGGGGUUAUUUUUCCACCUUCCUCAUUUACCCAUCUGACUUCCAGAUCUCUAAAUAAAUGUGUAUAUAUUUCAUAUCUGGUGGCUUUUGCUCUGCAUAAAGCCACACAUUUCCCAAGCGUCUUAGCAAUUAACUUCUGGAUGUUAUAUGAAGGAAGGACCGGAUUUACUUAGCGUCGAAACUUAGAAGAUAGGGAAGGCAUGAUCUGAUGUUACUCCUCUGAUUUAUGUCUGUCUUUGGGUAUUUUAAAGUGUUUGCUUGUGGUGUGUCUGCGUAUAUUGCGUAGUUAUAAAAAGAACAAAGACGAGCACAGGAAAGACAUGAAAAGUUGCUAUAUUUUCCACACCUAGUGAACAUUCCCAUUGGUUAUUGGGCUGUAUUCAAAAGGCUACGACUGUUUUAUUGCUCUACCAGCAAAAGCAACCUUUCUUCAUAGUGGAGCAGUACAAAGAAAGAGCACAAAAAGUACACACAUCAUAGUGCCUGAAAUUCUGUUUGAACAACUGUAUUGAUUGGGUCUGACCCCUUUACAUUUUUUUUUCCAUUAUUUGAAAAGGUGCAUCUAACCAUAGCUGAAUUGAACCAACUGAGAUGAACUUUCCAUGAAAACUUCUUGAGAUAUUUCUUUAGUUCAAAGCUUUGGAAUUUUAAAGAGCAUUUUUAAUACAAGUCUGUCGAGGUAUUCUGUGCAACAACCAACUUUGAAUGUUAAACUACAGGUAAACCUCAGAGGAAAGUGAAAUCUUAAAGCUCACCAUGAAAUUACUGUGAGAUGACAGAAUAACUGUGUGUUAUAAAGAAAACUGGUCCAGAAAGUAUUGCAUAUGUGCAUGUUGGUGCACUGUUCACCUGUUGUUUACUUGUAAGUGUUCCUUGUUGGCUUACAAAGAGUGUUAAACAGCCCAGACAAAACAUUAAAUUAAUCAAGGGUAGUUGGUUUGGGUUUGUUUUGUUUUUUUGCAGCAAGCAGUAAUUGAUUGAUGAAAUAGUGUUAUGAGAUGUGAGCUUAAAGGAUAACGAUGCCUUCUUUUGCCCACUAGAAGAAGCCUUUUACCAGGGAGCUAAGUGUAAGAAAGCACUGAAGGAAGAAGGAAAUUAAGAAAAUGAGGUUUGUCCCAGAGCCAGGGGUGGUGAAAGAGGCUGGUCCUCCCUGCCUCCAGGAAGUGGUUUUUUGCAAGGUGGUUUGCCAUACCAAGAAGUGGUGCUGCAUGACCUGCUGAGGUCUCUGGCCUCAAGUCCAUUGUGUUGUCCAGGAGGUGAGCUGAAACCCUGGCUGACCAGUUGUGCAAGGCUUAAGCCUGAUGAAAUGAAGUAGAUGGCCAUUUACUUACAGUGAGCUGUACCACACUGCGGGGGAAAAAACUGACAUUGGCUUAAAAAAGUUAACAGUAAAUCCAAGAGUGAAAAGAAACCAGUUCAGAUUGUCUAGCUUUUUUUUCUGCAGUCUUCAAUGUGACUGGAUGUACUUGUAAUGAGCACAUGUACUUAUCAUGGGUUGAGAGGAUUUCUCUGCACGGUCAAAGUGGACAGAUGUGCAGAAGUUAAAAGUGAUUGUUGAUAUAUGAGCCUCUGCGUUGCUUGGCUGAUGGAUGAUACAAAAAAUUAUUUUGUGGUUUCUGUUCUUUUUUUAAUUGCUAUUUUAUUUCUGAACUAGAUCUUCCUGAGCUGUGGGACACUGGAAAUGGUACUGGAUUUGGAUAGAUAACAGCACAAACUGUUGGUGGGAUCUCAUUCUGCACCUGCACAUCAAAACCAGGUCUAAUUAGAUUGAAACACUAAGUAUUUUGAUUCUUUGACACUGUGUAACACCUGAGGAAACUUUUAUCCAUCACGGUGCUGUCCAUAUUGGAUAAUUUCCUCAAGAAAAGUGUACAGGAGUGGCACUCCUAAAAAGAAACCCAGCUUCCACUUUGCCCCUUCAGUGACACGUGUCCCUCAUCUUAAUCCCCUGACAGCUAGACGAGACUGAUGCAGAUAACUGUGCCAGGCUUUGAUUAUGAGAUAUUGCACUGCCACUUAUUCUCUUUGUCUCCUGCAGUUUACAGAGGCAGCUUCAGUGCAUAAUUUAAUCCCUGUUCUGGGGACUGCAGUAAAUCCACAGAGAUUUCUGCCAACCGUCCUCUCUGACAUCAGAACAACAUGUGCACAUCGUCUUUGAUGUGAAUUCCCCAACCAGAGCCUUAGAAGGACCUGUAGCUUUGAAGCUGGCCUAUAAAUUGUGCUUUCAGGAAUCAAGUUGUCAGCCUCCUCUUCAGGAAAAAAAAAAAAGGAAGAGUAAACUGUAAAGCAGUUGCACAAAGCUACAGGGCACCUUAUACAUCAGGUUUCCUUGGCCUUGAAGAAUUCCUGUACAAUGGUGAGAAAGAAACUGAUUCCUCUUUUACUUGGCUUAGAAACAUCCGCUUUUGUGAUUGCAGGACCUCAUGGGCUGGGGGCUGAGAUGGGUACCCCUCAAGAUGAGUUCCUCUUCCAGGGCAGAGGGGAGGAGAACACGUACACUGGUGCUUUCCAAAGCUACGUGCCAGUAAUGCACCUGCAUUAGCCUUUGUGUGAGUAAAUUUUCAGUGUGGUUUAGAACCAGAUGAGAACCUUUACUGGUGCUUCUGUGUCGUACAAGACCUGCAUCAGUCGUUUCCAAAGGCAUGUACGAGUGUGGGCAGACUUAUCCCUUUCUUUUGAGGUGGUCUUUGAGUUGAGGAAUCUGUGGCCAAAUCUUGUUUGGAAAGACAAACUCGGUUGGUCUCUUUGAUUCAGGAUCUGCUUGUGUUCUGCAGUCCUCUCAGAUGGCUCCUUCCAUAGCAGCCUGGAAAGGCAGAGAACUAACUACAGAAGCAGCCAGUACAGUCUUGAUUUUUUUUUCUCUCUCAGUUCUAAUGGGAGCUAAAACUCUUCUGCUGCUGAACACACCCCUAAUACUGAUGUUUUUAUACAAAAUAUUGCUAAAACUGACUCCUGAAUUAGAAAAUUAGCAGAAUCUAUGCUGAACUGAAUCAGUUUUUCUUAACAUGUAAGAAGUUCCAUAGACAGGCUGCUUCAUAGAUGAAUGUGCAGGUGCUGACAUGAUGUUGCACAGAAAUUGAUGCGACUCUGCACAGCUCCUGUUCUGAGCAAGUCAGUCUCACUUCACCAUUAGAAGUGCAUUGCACUGGACCUCAUCGGAUGUCCACAAAAUUACCUGCCAUGUGCUUGGGGAAUGGAAGUUUUGCUGUGUUGACUUUUCCCUGUAAGAGCUGUUAGCAGAAAAGUUUAAUUUCAGUUGAUUUUUCAUUCUUGUGUGAUCUAUCUAUCUAUGUUUGAAGAAUUGGACAUCAAUUCCAACAAGGCAGGAGGCUGCAGUGAAUUCGGGCAGAGCUGAGGGCUGGAGGCCCCAGUGGCACUCGCUGCAGCAGCCUGCUCUGUGGGCAGAGACCUGUGCAGAGCCUGCCAGCUCUGUCUCCUUUUCCCAGCUCUUUCCAGGUUGGUUGCACUAUGGAGAGAAGCUCUCAGGGCAGGUUUUGAUAUGCCCUUCCUUGGAGGCUAUUGGGGAAGCAGCAGGGUGGGUUCUGUCACCUUCUGAGUCCAUUUAGGUGCAUGCGGGUGGUAAAUCAAGAGAUCUGAGUAGAUGCUGAGCAGCUGCAGAAGAAAAAGUUGCAAGAACAGCACUUGUGUCAACGCUGGGACAGAGACGACAGGUCAGUGUAUAUGCAGCACUUUACAGCCCACGCUGCAGUUUUGUAAUUGCACUCCACUCAAGGCAAUAAACAAUAGCUGACAGCCAAAUCUAAAAUAAAAUUAAAAAAAAAAAAAUGCUCGUUUAAGUGCUGCUAGCGUGUCUAAAUAGAAGACUGACCUCAGUCUGGGAUGGAUGUAAAGGAUAGUAAAUCAAUCAGCUUCACUGGGGAAUGAAGGAGGAGCUUGACCCAGACAGAUGCUGCUCAGUGUUUUGUUUCUGUCUUGGAGAUCUUAAGGAAAUGGGGUGGGUCUGAUAGAGCCCCUUCCACAACAAGUUUACUCACUGAAAAAGUUCUGAAACAGAAAAAAAUGGCAAAGAUCUGAUGACAACGCAGCUAUUCCUGUAUUUGUACUCCCUGGGGUCGUUUUCAUCUUCCGUAUCUCCCUUAAUUUAGACCUUGACCAAAGCCCCAUUUUGAUGAAGGUGUGAAAGGCUUCUACAAAAAUAGAUUAUCUGCCAAAGUUGUCCAGGUAGUACGAGCUCAAAGCCUGCAUGUGAAUGCAAAUAACCGUCCUUCACAUUUCGUGCUUUUUAGAUGGAUU